UUGAGAGGGGUUCGUUGAGAACGAGAGUGGGAUUGAGAGAAAUGUGAAGUUUGGUGUGCAUGAGAUUGCCAUUGUUGGAGAAGGUUGAGUUCGUAAGGUGAGAGAGAUGAGAAGAAGACGAGCUUCUGUUUUGUUUUUUUUCUUUUUCGUUUCCAUUUUCUGUUUUCUUUUUUUAAAUUUUUUUUAAUUUGUUUUUUAACAGAGAUAAAAAAAAACAUAAAAAUGUUUAUAGGUUAUUUAUUUUUUUUGUUUUAGCCCGGUUCAUAUACUUAGCGUAGUAUCUCAAUAGCAGUUGAUGUUGAGUGGCCUAGUGGAGAGAGGUUAGUUUCAUAAUAUUAAGUGGAGAGGGUUCGAUACUCAUGUGUGUUACUUUUUGCUUAUUUAUUUUAUUUUAUCUUCUUUUAGCAUUUUUUUAUUAUUUUAGUAUUUUAUUAACAUUUUUUUUUAUGUUUAUUAUGCUCAUAAUUUCAU
rnacentral:lncRNA from 1 species